rnacentral:rRNA from 1 species
AUAAACGCUGGCGGCGCACAUAAGACAUGCAAGUUGAACGGACUUAAUCGAAAUAUUUAUAUUUUGAAGCGGUUAGUGGCGGACUGGUGAGUAACGCGUAAGGAACCUGCCUAUUAGAGGGGAAUAACAGUGAGAAAUCAUUGCUAAUACCGCAUAUGCCAUAGAUAUCACAUGAUAACAGUGGGAAAGGAGCAAUCCGCUAAUAGAUGGCCUUGCGUCUGAUUAGAUAGUUGGUGGGGUAACGGCCUACCAAGUCGACGAUCAGUAGCCGGACUGAGAGGUUGAACGGCCACAUUGGGACUGAGAUACGGCCCAGACUCCUACGGGAGGCAGCAGUCGGGAAUAUUGCGCAAUGGAGGAAACUCUGACGCAGUGACGCCGCGUAUAGGAAGAAGGUUUUAGGAUUGUAAACUAUUGUCGUUAGGGAAGAGAAAGGACAGUACCUAAGGAGGAAGCUCCGGCUAACUACGUG